rnacentral:rRNA from 1 species
AACGAACGCUGGCGGCAUGCCUAACACAUGCAAGUCGAACGAGACCUUCGGGUCUAGUGGCGCACGGGUGCGUAACGCGUGGGAACCUGCCCUUAGGUUCGGAAUAGCUCCCCGAAAGGGGUGCUAAUACCGGAUAAUGUCUUCGGACCAAAGAUUUAUCGCCUUUGGAUGGGCCCGCGUUGGAUUAGCUAGUUGGUAGGGUAAAAGCCUACCAAGGCGACGAUCCAUAGCUGGUCUGAGAGGAUGAUCAGCCACACUGGGACUGAGACACGGCCCAGACUCCUACGGGAGGCAGCAGUGGGGAAUAUUGGACGAUGGGCGAAAGCCUGAUCCAGCAAUGCCGCGUGAGUGAUGAAGGCCUUAGGGUUGUAAAGCUCUUUUACCCGGGAUGAUAAUGACAGUACCGGGAGAAUAAGCUCCGGCUAACUCCGUG